rnacentral:rRNA from 1 species
GACGAACGCUGGCGGCGUGCCUAAUACAUGCAAGUUGAGCGCUGAAGGUUGGUACUUGUACCAACUGGAUGAGCAGCGAACGGGUGAGUAACGCGUGGGGAAUCUGCCUUUGAGCGGGGGACAACAUUUGGAAACGAAUGCUAAUACCGCAUAAAAACUUUAAACACAAGUUUUAAGUUUGAAAGAUGCAAUUGCAUCACUCAAAGAUGAUCCCGCGUUGUAUUAGCUAGUUGGUGAGGUAAAGGCUCACCAAGGCGAUGAUACAUAGCCGACCUGAGAGGGUGAUCGGCCACAUUGGGAAUGAGACACGGCCCAAACUCCUACGGGAGGCAGCAGUAGGGAAUCUUCGGCAAUGGACGAAAGUCUGAACGAGCAACGCCGCGUGAGUGAAGAAGGUUUUCGGAUCGUAAAACUCUGUUGGUAGAGAAGAACGUUGGUGAGGGUGGAAAGCUCAUCAAGUGACGGUAACUACACAGAAAGGGACGGCUAACUACGUG